rnacentral:rRNA from 1 species
AGAGUUUGAUCCUGGCUCAGGACGAACGCUGGCGGCGUGCUUAACACAUGCAAGUCGAGCGAUGAAGUUCCUUCGGGAAUGGAUUAGCGGCGGACGGGUGAGUAACACGUGGGUAACCUGCCUCAUAGAGGGGAAUAGCCUUUCGAAAGGAAGAUUAAUACCGCAUAAGAUUGUAGUGCCGCAUGGCAUAGCAAUUAAAGGAGUAAUCCGCUAUGAGAUGGACCCGCGUCGCAUUAGCUAGUUGGUGAGGUAACGGCUCACCAAGGCGACGAUGCGUAGCCGACCUGAGAGGGUGAUCGGCCACAUUGGGACUGAGACACGGCCCAGACUCCUACGGGAGGCAGCAGUGGGGAAUAUUGCACAAUGGGGGAAACCCUGAUGCAGCAACGCCGCGUGAGUGAUGACGGUCUUCGGAUUGUAAAGCUCUGUCUUCAGGGAUGAUAAUGACGU